rnacentral:rRNA from 1 species
UAAAUUUAUAUAAAAUAUUUUGGAUGGAAUAUUUUUAUAAUAUUAACAUAAUUCAUAUUACUAUAUAUUUUAGUAUAUGAAAUUUUACUUUGAGAAAAUUAGAGUGCUUAAAGCAGGCAUAUGCCUUGAAUACUCCAGCAUGGAAUAAUAUUAAAGAUUUUUAUCUUUCUUAUUGGUUCUAAGAUAAGAAUAAUGAUUAAUAGGGACAGUUGGGGGCAUUUGUAUUUAACAGUCAGAGGUGAAAUUCUUAGAUUUGUUAAAGACAAACUAAUGCGAAAGCAUUUGCCAAGGAUGUUUUCAUUAAUCAAGAACGAAAGUUAGGU